CAGGAACUGACACAGAAGGGUUUCCUAUGGUGUCACAUCUUGAAACCAUAUAUAAUAGACACACAACAGACUGCAUACAACCCAGUGGCUCACAGCAACUUGAGUUUCAGAGGAGAUUUUGGACUUGGACUUUUCAGCAGUGCUGGAAUUGUUAUACGUUUGGUGACUGAGACGAACUAAAUACAUUUUGCAUAAAGAUGUGGACAUGAGUCUUUUGGGGGCCAGGGGUGGGAUGAUAUGGUUUAUAUCUAGAAUGUCCCCCAGAAGGCUGAUGUGUUCUGAUACUGGGAUUUUGGAAGGGGCACUAUUCUCUUGAAAGCUAAAUGCGCUGUUAGAAGGUGGAGUCUGAUCAGAAGAGGUGGGUCACUUGGGGUGUGACCUGGAAGGCUAUAUCUCCUUCCCCAGCUCUUCCCUUGGCUCUCUAGUUCCUGCUCAAUGGUCAAUGUGACCUGAGCAGCUUUCCUCCACCAAAGCCUUCCAC
rnacentral:lncRNA from 1 species